GAUGGAAGCCUCUCCUCAGUGCAAAACUACGGUGGCCGGGAAGUGCAAAACAUUAUUACAAAGUGUGAAACACUUUUACAAAGCUCGAGACAAAUUUACAUUUUGGAAAACAUUUUUACCUAUCAUAAAACACAAUUACAUGGGAAAAACUUUUACCAGUCCUGAAACAAAUUUACAAUGACAGAUUCUUCACGGAAAGGGAAUGUACCAUACACCGGAAGUGACACGGUGAAAGGUGGUGUUGUUGGUGAGCACGAUAAAUUUGUGUUGUGGAGUUAAUGGCGUAAAUAAAGUUUAUAGUGACCGAACAUGGACUGCGACCGAGGGAUGUUUUGCGGCAAACGCAUGAGCAGCUUAACGUGGUUUUCCUUUACAAAAGGACGCGGACCAGACGGAAACACAGGGGAUGUCUCGACAGCCGGACAGUGCUAAGCAAAGUAAGUUUGUUUGUGUUUUUUUUGUUUUUUUUUUUUUUUGUUUUUUUUAAUGUAGCAAAACGCUAGCCAUCUGAGGCCAUGUGUGUUUUGAAACCAUUUUGAAACGGAACUCUGUCCAUUUUAGCAGAACAACCAUGCCCAUCAUACAAACAGUUCAUGGAGUACAAAAGCUUGAAGUCAAAAGAAUGGCAGUCUUUUAACUAUGGGCCAAAAGGAAGAUUUAAGCCUAAAGACAGAAAACAUGUCCAGAGAUGCACCAGGACAUUUAGCAACAAUUCAGCCAGGACAGAUAGUAAUAUCUGAUGCUGAGGAUCUGGAUCCACUUGAAAAAAAUCAAGAAAAAACUUCUUGCUACAGUAAAUACACAGACCUGUAUUCACCAAAUGUUGAGCAAGAGGAGGAAGAGCCACACAGCAAUGGAGGAGACGGACAUUACAUUACCUGACAUCAUAGCAAACCUGUCACUUCCUAUUGAUCAUAAGAGUCAGCCGGUUCAACAUCUCAAGGGCUAAUGUUUGGGAUGGGGCAGUCAGAGGUUUCAAGCGUACAACAUAUUCUGAAACCUGUGACAUGCUGGUCAGAUUUACUGAUGAUACUGGUGUUCUGGAAGAGGGAAUUGACACUGGUGGUCCAAGACGAGAGUUUUUAACUCUGUUAAUGAAACACCUAAAAGACCGGCCCAUUUUUGAUGGACCAGAAGGGCAUCGAUUCUUGGUCUACAAUGCAAAUGCUGUUAAGGAGGAUGAAUACUACCUGGCAGGAAAGAUGAUUGCUGUGUCAGUUGUGCAUGGAGGUCCAGGACCCCAUUUCCUGUCGAAAGAUCUUGUACAUUAUCUUGCAGGCCAGCCUUCAUUCAAAGCACCAAUUAACUUAAUAACUGAUGAAGAAAUAGGGAAAGCUUCGCAAGAGGUGAGAAUAGCAUAAGGGUAUGGUAGGGCAGGGUUUUACAUAGUUCCUGCAGUGUUUUGAGACAGUGUUUACUUCCUAUAUCCAGUACAGAAUUUGUUUUAUUAAUUUAUUAUUUUUGAUGGUGUAAGAUUACACUAUGCUGUGUAUGUAUCAUUAAAAAAAAGAGAUACAGUGCUUACAGUUAUUGACUGGGGUGUUUAUGCCCCUUUUCAUGUGUUUCAGCUUGAGAAUGCUGCUUCAUUGGAUGCUCUGCACGAAUGUAUGAUGAGACACAGCACAAUGUUACAGACAGCAGGUUGUCUGAGACAUGUGGCUACUGUGGAAGAAAAUAAAUUGUUUCAGACUACCUCCAAUGGUAUGUUAUUGACUGCAACUCAUCUGUAAUUGACAGAUUCAGGGAGGGUCUUUCAACCCUGGAGGUUUUUGACUGCACUACAGCAACACUCUACUUUCUAAUCUCCUUGAUUGUGAAGAAGGCCAAGCUGCUGUGUCUGUGGAAGAUGUUUUGAUGUUUGCUACUGGGCUGUCUUCACUUCCCCCAUCUGGCUUGGAACCACUGCCACAAAUAGAGUUCCUGGAUGACUCUGCGAAUACAGGUACAAACCCCUUGAAAUUACCACUCCUAGACUCAUACACUUUAAGUCAUAAAUGAACUUUGGAAUUCAAAAUAGUCCAGGAUUUGGCUGUUUUUUAAGCUAAAUGAU